rnacentral:rRNA from 1 species
UACAGAGGUCUCAAGCGUUGUUCGGAUUCAUUGGGCGUAAAGGGCGCGUAGGCUGCGGGGCAAGUCGGGUGUGAAAUCUCAGAGCUCAACUCUGAAACUGCACUCGAUACUGCUUUGCUUGAGGACUGGAGAGGAGAUUGGAAUUCACGGUGUAGCAGUGAAAUGCGUAGAUAUCGUGAGGAAGACCAGUGGCGAAGGCGGAUCUCUGGACAGUUCCUGACGCUGAGGCGCGAAGGCGUGGGGAGCGAACGGG